UUCAGGAAGGAUUUAUAUAGAGAAACUCCGCUUGGACUACAGAAGUCUCGAGGUAUGGAUAAAUUUACUUAUCUCUGCUUUUUGCUCGAAUAGUAUUAUGCUAUAUGGAAUUCUGGAUGCAACAGAUGUUUGAUGAAAGGAGCUUCUGUCAUCAGGUUAGUUCUCACCAUCCUAUAAACAAUUAAAUUUGCUACAGUCAGAUCAAUAAAUGUUUUAAUCAGAUUAUAGUAUGGUUCAUACGACAGAUUGUGACUGAAGUAUGAAUUGUAUUUUUUUGCAUUAUUUAGCAACAAAUAUAUAUAUAUAGCAUGCAUUGAGCAAUAUAGGAGAAUCGACAUACAGGCAACAACUGGAAUCUUUAAUUUUAGGUAGUUUGGGGAAUGGUCGUUUGACGGCUUCAUGCGAUGUGUGUGCCACUCAAAUUUGCCUGCUACAAAUUCUACUUCAAUUUCACAGGCCCCCUUCAGGGUUGAAGUUAGCAUGGGCAGAUGCAAUUAUUUUCUCCUUCUGUAGAAUUCUACUGGCUAUUAGAAAGGUGUCUUAUGCCUUUAGGUAGAACUGCAAUCUUAUAUCACGACUUAUGCCUUCUGCAUAAGAUACAUAGGCAGUAUAUACUUAUUUUAGAAUACAUGUGUUUUACUUUUAGAUGGAACCAACAUUUCGGCUGUUCUAUUUGAUUCUUCACAUGCAUGUUGGAUAUGAUUAGGAGUUUAUCGAUUGUAUUUUAAUAUUGUUCAAGGAAAGGGAAUUUGUCUGGAAUGAUAUAUCAACUUAAUCUUUAUACCAAACACCUCUUCUCCAAAUGCUAUUUUACAAAGCUCCCAUGUUGAUUGUCAUUAGCUUCUGGUUGUCCGUUAAUAGAC